AAUCUGCCUAUUAGUGGGGGACAACAUUCCGAAAGGAAUGCUAAUACCGCAUACGUCCUACGGGAGAAAGCAGGGGAUCUUCGGACCUUGCGCUAAUAGAUGAGCCUAAGUCGGAUUAGCUAGUUGGUGGGGUAAAGGCCUACCAAGGCGACGAUCUGUAGCGGGUCUGAGAGGAUGAUCCGCCACACUGGGACUGAGACACGGCCCAGACUCCUACGGGAGGCAGCAGUGGGGAAUAUUGGACAAUGGGGGGAACCCUGAUCCAGCCAUGCCGCGUGUGUGAAGAAGGCCUUAUGGUUGUAAAGCACUUUAAGCGAGGAGGAGGCUACUGAGACUAAUACUCUUGGAUAGUGGACGUUACUCGCAGAAUAAAGCACCGGCUAACUCUGUGCCAGCAGCCGCGGUAAUACAGAGGGUGCGAGCGUUAAUCGGAUUUACUGGGCGUAAAGCGUGCGUAGGCGGCUUUUUAAGU
rnacentral:rRNA from 1 species